CACUUUUGCUAAUGAGAUCGGAAACAGUUUUUGUAGUCCAGGAGAUGUUAAUACUGUACUGAGUGAUUCUCUUUCCAUUAUCUCGACAGUUAUGUCCAGGUAAGAGCUGUAGCAGUGCUUGUAUUUUACUUUUUAUGGCAAUCAUAUGCUGAGUGUUUCCUAUUCUGUGCAGAUGAUGUCCACUUAAUGUUUUUGACUAUGUGGACUGUUGGGCAAGACUUAAAACAAUCUUGAACUUCUUCUUUUGCUAGGGCUAGACGUGAAUUAUUAUGUGGAUAAGAGAAGAAGUAAUAUGAUAACUGACUUCACUUAUCAGUCUGUUUAGUCAAAUCACAAAUGCUUCACAUGCUUGACCAUGUCUCUCAAGAUCUUAAAACAGGUGUUAUGUUGUCAAUUUUGACAUUGAUACCGACUUACAAGUGUUGAGAUUAAGUGCAAACUGCCUUCCCCUUCCUCUUUUUAUUUCUAGUGAGAAUGCCCUCCCUCUCUUUCUCUUUCUAGUGAUAAUGCCUAAUGCUAUCUGCAUACUGUUGGCAGUUGAUCCUAUGGCACCCCCAUUUUGACUUGCCUCCCAUGCUAGUUGAGCGGGUGUGUGACUUGAGGGUAUCGCAACCGAAAUUUGUCAAUAUGACUGUCUUUUAAGAUAUAGCCUUGAAUGUCAUCCAUUUCAGGGCAACUGCUCCUGAAAUUUGUCAACAUGGCUGUGUGUUUUGUGAUAUAGCGUUGAAUGACUUGAGAUAGCAUUUGAGAUUUAUCACUAUUGUUAUAUUUCUGCAGAUUCUAUCCAUUGAUGAAAAUGGGGCAGAUACUUACUUCUUUUGAAGUUAAGCCUGGAUAUGGAGCAUAUGUAAUUGAUUUUCACAUUUCAAAGAAUACAAAACACUCUCCACAGGAAAAAAUAGUAAGCAUCUCAUAACUUUGAUUUUGUAGUCUAUGGUGGUGUAAGAUGCAAUGUUUCACGUAAAAUCUCUCUAGCUGCAUCUUCUGAUUUUAUGAUCCAGUUCAUUGUAAUCUUGUAUGAUCAUCUAAAUUAGUUCACCUGAGUUUAGCUCUAAAUCAAAACUUUUGUUACUGCAACUAUUUGCUAGAGUUGUUGCAAUAGUUUCCUUCUAAAGAUAUGUCCUUCUAGCUGAUUCAUGUCUUUAUUGCUUUAAUACUUUUCUCAGUAAUUUUUUGGUCCAUUAAAAUGUGUUGUCUGUUUUCUGCUGGCUUCAUUUUAUGAACCGAGAUGAACUAGUUAAUGCAAAUCACAUUUUCUGGUGAUGAACAUUUAAUUUUGGGAUUGCCACUGUGGAGGUCAUCAAUUAUAGUAGCAUAUCAAAAGCUGUGUUGUAUUACAGUAAAUUCCAAGUGAUAGACAUGAUCAAUUGAGCAGACAAAUUGCAGCACUUAGUCCUUGGUUUCCAUCUUUACAUAUGCUUUUUUUUUCUCCCCUUUAGGGUACUCAGAAUAGGAUGAUUGUUUAUGGAAGUCAUUCUGUAUUUUACUCUUCCCAUUGUCUUGUUUUCUCUUUGUGGUCUACAGCGGUUGUUUGUCGUACAGAGAGAUAAUACAGAGACACCUGCUUGUAUUAUUAGUCCACAACAAGUGAAGUGGGAACCAUCCUUCUCAUCCCUUGAUUUACUUUGUUGGUUUAGUUGUUAGAAUAUAUUUUGAUCACUUUUUUCUUUUCACCGUUGUAGUUUUCUGUUAAAUGGAAAGGGAGUAGAGAGAAGAACUAACGUUUCAAUGGACACUGGACCACAGCUUCCAACAAAUGUGACAGCAAUGCUUAAAUAUGGAACAAAUCUUCUUCAAGCAGUUGGCCAGUUCAAUGGUCAUUAUAUCAUAGCUGUUGUUUUUAUGAGUGUGACACCAUUACCGGAGACUCCUGUGCUGCUAGAUUAUGUUGAGUCUGAUGUUGCUGCAGCAGAUCCAGGUAC
rnacentral:misc_RNA from 1 species